CCAUGCUGUCCUUGUCAUCUGUGGCAUCCCCCAAGGUCAGGCUAUGUCGAGUCUGAUCAAAGAGUGCAAUGACCUCAUCCUGGAGAGUUUCACACACACUCAGCACCAGCUGGGAGUACUGAGGGAUCUCAUUCACUUUCAUCUCCUUCAUCUGCAGCACAGUGAUAAGAGCUGAGAACACUUUGGCUUUGGUUUUCUCCAUCAUCUGCUGAUCUGCCUGUAGUACUCCCUCCAGAAUCUGCGUCAAGGAGUUUAUGAUUUUAUCCACAGAACC
rnacentral:lncRNA from 1 species